UACGUAGGGUGCGAGCGUUGUCCGGAAUUAUUGGGCGUAAAGAGCUCGUAGGCGGUCUGUCGCGUCGAUCGUGAAAACUUGGGGCUUAACCCUGAGCUUGCGGUCGAUACGGGCAUGACUGGAGUUCGGCAGGGGAGACCGGAAUUCCUGGUGUAGACGGUGAAAUGCGCAGAUAAUCAGGAGGAACACCGGUGGCGAAGGCGGGUCUCUGGGCCGAUACUGACGCUGAGGAGCGAAAGCGUGGGGAGCGAACAGGG
rnacentral:rRNA from 1 species